rnacentral:misc_RNA from 1 species
GAUGAAGAACGUAGCGAACUGCGAUAAGUAAUGUGAAUUGCAGAAUUCAGUGAAUCAUCGAGUCUUUGAACGCACAUUGCGCCCCCUGGCAUUCCGGGGGGCAUGCCUGUCCGAGCGUCAUUGCUGCCCUUCAAGCCCGGCUUGUGUGUUGGGUCGUCGUCCCCCCCGGGGGACGGGCCCGAAAGGCAGCGGCGGCACCGCGUCCGGUCCUCGAGCGUAUGGGGCUUUGUCACCCGCUCGAUUAGGGCCGGCCGGGCGCCAGCCGGCGUCUCCAACCUUCUAUUUUACCAGGUUGACCUCGGAUCAGGUAUGGAUACCCGCUGAACUUAAGCAUAUCAAUAAGCGGAGGA